rnacentral:rRNA from 3 species
GCAUAUCAAUAAGCGGAGGAAAAGAAACCAACAGGGAUUGCCCUAGUAACGGCGAGUGAAGCGGCAACAGCUCAAAUUUGAAAUCUGGCUUUCGGGCCCGAGUUGUAAUUUGUAGAGGAUACUUUUGAUGCGGUGCCUUCCGAGUUCCCUGGAACGGGACGCCAUAGAGGGUGAGAGCCCCGUCUGGUUGGAUGCCAAAUCUCUGUAAAGUUCCUUCGACGAGUCGAGUAGUUUGGGAAUGCUGCUCUAAAUGGGAGGUAUAUGUCUUCUAAAGCUAAAUAUUGGCCAGAGACCGAUAGCGCACAAGUAGAGUGAUCGAAAGAUGAAAAGCACUUUGAAAAGAGAGUUAAAAAGUACGUGAAAUUGUUGAAAGGGAAGCGUUUAUGACCAGACUUGGACUUGGUUAAUCAUCUGGGGUUCUCCCCAGUGCACUUUUCCAGUUCAGGCCAGCAUCAGUUUUCGCCGGGGGAUAAAGGCUUCGGGAAUGUAGCUCUCUUCGGGGAGUGUUAUAGCCCGUUGUGUAAUACCCUGGUGGAGACUGAGGUUCGCGCUUCUGCAAGGAUGCUGGCGUAAUGGUCAUCAACGACCCGUCUUGAAACACGGACC